GGCUUAGAGUUUGAUCAUGGCUCAGGACGAACGCUGGCGGCGUGCUUAACACAUGCAAGUCGAACGGGGUGUUUAUUUCGGUAAACACCAAGUGGCGAACGGGUGAGUAACGCGUAAGCAAUCUACCUUCAUGAUGGGGACAACACUUCGAAAGGGGUGCUAAUACCGAAUGAAUGUAAGAGUAUCGCAUGAGACACUUACUAAAGGAGGCCUCUGAAUAUGCUUCCGCUUGAAGAUGAGCUUGCGUCUGAUUAGCUAGUUGGUGAGGGUAAAGGUCCACCAAGGCGACGAUCAGUAGCCGGUCUGAGAGGAUGAACGGCCACAUUGGGACUGAGACACGGCCCAGACUCCUACGGGAGGCAGCAGUGGGGAAUCUUCCGCAAUGGGCGAAAGCCUGACGGAGCAACGCCGCGUGAACGAUGAAGGUCUUAUGAUCGUAAAGUUCUGUUGUUAGGGACGAAGGGUAAGAAUCAUAAUACGGUUUUUAUUUGACGGUACCUAACGAGGAAGCCACGGCUAACUACGUGCCAGCAGCCGCGGUAAUACGUAGGCGGCAAGCGUUGUCCGGAAUUAUUGGGCGUAAAGGGAGCGCAGGCGGGAAACUAAGCGGAUCUUAAAAGUGCGGGGCUCAACCCCGUGAGGGGGUCCGAACCGGUUUUCUUGAGUGCAGGAGAGGAAAGCGGAAUUCCCAGUGUAGCGGUGAAAUGCGUAGAUAUUGGGAAGAACACCAGUGGCGAACGCGGCUUUCUGGACUGUAACUGACGCUGUGGCUCGAAAGCUAGGGUAGCGAACGGGAUUAGAUACCCCGGUAGUCCUAGCCGUAAACGAUGGAUACUAGUGUGGGAGUAUCGACCCCUUCCGUGCGNG
rnacentral:rRNA from 1 species